UACGUAGGGUGCAAGCGUUGUCCGGAAUUAUUGGGCGUAAAGAGCUCGUAGGCGGUUUGUUGCGUCGGCUGUGAAAUCCCGAGGCUCAACCUCGGGUCUGCAGUCGAUACGAGCAAACUAGAGUGUUGCAGGGAGACUGGAAUUCCUGGUGUAGCGGUGAAAUGCGCAGAGUAUCAGGAGGAACACCGGUGGGCGAAGGCG
rnacentral:rRNA from 1 species